UACGUAGGGUGCAGGCGUUACUCGGAAUUACUGGGCGUAAAGCGUGCGCAGGCGGUUUGCUAAGACAGGUGUGAAAUCCCCGGGCUUAACCUGGGAACUGCGCUUGUAACUGGCAAGCUAGAGUGUGGCAGAGGGGGGUGGAAUUCCAGGUGUAGCAGUGAAAUGCGUAGAGAUCUGGAGGAACACCGAUGGCGAAGGCAGCCCCCUGGGCUAACACUGACGCUCAUGCACGAAAGCGUGGGGAGCAAAAGGG
rnacentral:rRNA from 1 species